rnacentral:snoRNA from 1 species
AUGCAGACCUGGAGCAGUUAAUAUCUGCUGCUAAAGUUUCCACUAUAAAUGCAAGAAAAAGAAGGUCCUUGCGCUUUCUGUCUGUCUGGUUGUGGCAGCCAAGACUGAAUGGGGGAAGAUAGGA